UUGGGGGGAUGUCUUGACUAACCAAGGACGAGUAUGUCCAUACCAUACACCAUUCAAGAAAUGUGUGAGGGCAUGGAAAAUGGAAAGGACACAACUCCUAAUCUAUAGAAAAUUUACGCCUGUGGGGGCGAGACGUGAGGGUGAAUGAGUACUGUACAUCAUGGCCAGCAGCUGGCAAAAUACUUGGCACAUGACCUUAAAGGACAGAAAUUUCUGAAAAGGAUAGCAUCAAAAGAUGGAAGGAGCCUGGAUCCCUGCCAUUUCUCAGACCAGAG